rfam:Oryza punctata chromosome 2, whole genome shotgun sequence.
AUACCUUUCUCGGCCUUUUGGCUAAGAUCAAGUGUAGUAUCUGUUCUUAUCAGUUUAAUAUCUGAUACGUGGGCUAUGUGCCCACUACGAUAUUAAAUUUAUUUUUUGUGGGAGAGGACCCAUCACAGUGGCUUGCCACUGGGGCCCUCGCGUGUCGCCCAGGCGUUGCACUGCUGCUCGGGCUUGGCGCACCCCAA